rnacentral:misc_RNA from 1 species
UUGUCCAUUGGGCAGUAUACCCUGUGAAUGUCCUUUAAAUUAUAGUUUGAAUUACAACAGAACUAUCAAAAUUCCCAAAUGGCACAAAAUGCCAAAUAUUUCAAUCAAUCCUGGUUUGACAUAUACAUCCACAACAAUCAAACAAGUAUACUAGUUUCUUGAUUACCUUAUAAACCUUUCCAUAUCCACCUUCACCUAACUUGUUAU